rnacentral:rRNA from 1 species
ACUCCGGGAAACCGGGGCUAAUACCGGAUGCUUGAUUGAACCGCAUGGUUCAAUCAUAAAAGGUGGCUUUUAGCUACCACUUACAGAUGGACCCGCGGCGCAUUAGCUAGUUGGUGAGGUAACGGCUCACCAAGGCGACGAUGCGUAGCCGACCUGAGAGGGUGAUCGGCCACACUGGGACUGAGACACGGCCCAGACUCCUACGGGAGGCAGCAGUAGGGAAUCUUCCGCAAUGGACGAAAGUCUGACGGAGCAACGCCGCGUGAGUGAUGAAGGUUUUCGGAUCGUAAAACUCUGUUGUUAGGGAAGAACAAGUACCGUUCGAAUAGGGCGGUACCUUGACGGUACCUAACCAGAAAGCCACGGCUAACUACGUGCCAGCAGCCGCGGUAAUACGUAGGUGGCAAGCGUUGUCCGGAAUUAUUGGGCGUAAAGCGCGCGCAGGCGGUUUCUUAAGUCUGAUGUGAAAGCCCCCGGCUCAACCGGGGAGGGUCAUUGGAAACUGGGGAACUUGAGUGCAGAAGAGGAGAGUGGAAUUCCACGUGUAGCGGUGAAAUGCGUAGAGAUGUGGAGGAACACCAGUGGCGAAGGCGACUCUCUGGUCUGUAACUGACGCUGAGGCGCGAAAGCGUGGGGAGCGAACAGGAUUAGAUACCCUGGUAGUCCACGCCGUAAACGAUGAGUGCUAAGUGUUAGAGGGUUUCCGCCCUUUAGUGCUGCAGCAAACGCAUUAAGCACUCCGCCUGGGGAGUACGGUCGCAAGACUGAAACUCAAAGGAAUUGACGGGGGCCCGCACAAGCGGUGGAGCAUGUGGUUUAAUUCGAAGCAACGCGAAGAACCUUACCAGGUCUUGACAUCCUCUGACAACCCUAGAGAUAGGGCUUCCCCUUCGGGGGCAGAGUGACAGGUGGUGCAUGGUUGUCGUCAGCUCGUGUCGUGAGAUGUUGGGUUAAGUCCCGCAACGAGCGCAACCCUUGAUCUUAGUUGCCAGCAUUCAGUUGGGCACUCUAAGGUGACUGCCGGUGACAAACCGGAGGAAGGUGGGGAUGACGUCAAAUCAUCAUGCCCCUUAUGACCUGGGCUACACACGUGCUACAAUGGGCAGAACAAAGGGCAGCGAAGCCGCGAGGCUAAGCCAAUCCCACAAAUCUGUUCUCAGUUCGGAUCGCAGUCUGCAACUCGACUGCGUGAAGCUGGA